rnacentral:misc_RNA from 1 species
GGGGGGGGGGGGGGGGGGGGUGUGAAGGGUUUGGGUAUUUGGACUGCUUUUGUUCAUAGAUGCUGAGGAGUUCUAAAUUCUUUUCACACUUGCUUGUUGUCCUUCUCCAAAAUGAUUAUGUAUUCCAUUGUUUAGGUCUUGCGUGUUGUGUGCUUUAUUUAUGAAUUUACUUUCCUGCCCUUGCAUUUCUUAAAAAUGAUGUUGUUUUCUUCUGGUUUCUUCUUCAUUUGCUUUUGCUUUACUGCCUUUUCAUUUUCCUUCAUCCUCCAUAUGUGAGUAUACUCAUUUGCACAAGAAACAAAGUGUGUUAAUUUAUUGUUAGGCAAAAGGGGGAUUUUUUUUUUAUUGGUUCAUAGGCUCUCAUGAGAUCAUAGCUUUGUUCGAUAUAAUGAGUAGUGAAGUCGAAAAAAUGUCAUUUCACCUGUAAGAGAAUAGUUAUUGGUUCCAUAUAUUUAGGUAUUUUUCACUUUUUAUUGCUAUAUCUCUGUGGUUUCUUCUUCUUUUGACUCAUCUCUUUCUCCUCAUUAUUCUU